UACGGGGGGGGCAAGCGUUGUUCGGAAUUACUGGGCGUAAAGGGCUCGUAGGCGGCCAACUAAGUCGGAUGUGAAAUCCCCAGGCUCAACCUGGGAACUGCAUCCGAUACUGGAUGGCUUGAAUUCGGGAGAGGGAUGCAGAAUUCCAGGUGUAGCGGUGAAAUGCGUAGAUAUCUGGAGGAACACCGGUGGCGAAGGCGGCAUCCUGGACCGGUAUUGACACUGAGGCGCGAAAGCCAGGGGAGCAAACGGGG
rnacentral:rRNA from 1 species